ACUCAUGAAUCCAUAUUUCCAUAUCAUGUAAAUGCAGCAAAAAUAUAUGGCCUUUUUUGAUAAAACAAGGAUUAUAUGAUAUUCAUUCAGUAAAGAGUUUUUGAUUUAACAUAGUCUUCACCAUUGUCUUCACAUUCUGGUUUCUCAGACUGUAGAUUAAGAGACUGAACAUAGGAAUCACCAUGAUUUAGAACAAGGAGAUGAGUUUGUCUGCUACUUCUUGUUUAUCACCUCCAAAAGUUUCGUUAGGCACAGAAAAAAUGGAGAGAACUUUUUAUUUUCCUUCCGGAGGAGGGAAUCUCGAGAUGGCAUAAAUGUUGAAAAUAUAGGUAACAAAAUAAACAGAUCUGUAACAACUAGAAAAGUCAUAAUUCCAAACAUUAUGCUAAUCACAUUGGACUGGAUAUCCCCACUGGCUACAUUGUCCCCACAAAAAGGGAAUUGCAUUGUAAGAGAUAUCUGUGCAACUCCUACUAUAAUAGUGGCUCUUUUACUAUGGUAUUUAUGGUAAGGGAAAUUCUAGACCGGUUACACUAGGAAAUAAGGUUAGAAGGAGAACUGGGAUUUUCACUCCAACCCCCUCACCCACUUCCUGUGUCUUUCUGUUGAUUUUAACAGUUCUUCAGAGAAGUUUUACAUGUGAAGCAUGAAAACAUGGAUCUUUGCCAUCUACCUUUAUCGAGUUGUCAUAACAACAUUCAAGGAACCUAUCCAUUUUGGUUCUGUAGUGAAUGAAGAGAGAAAACUGAUGACCACAAGCAUGUGAACUUUUCAGACAUCUUCCUCUGCCACUGCAUCUUAAACUUUUUAUAUAAUCACUCUACUUUUGAAUGUAACGAUAAAAAUAACCAUCAAAUGUAUUCAACCAUA